GACGAACCGAGCGAACGUUGUUCGGAAUUACUGGGCGUAAAGGGCGCGUAGGCGGCCUGUUAAGUCGAACGUGAAAUCCCCGGGCUCAACCCGGGAACUGCGUCCGAUACUGGUAGGCUUGAAUCCGGGAGAGGGAUGCGGAAUUCCAGGUGUAGCGGUGAAAUGCGUAGAUAUCUGGAGGAACACCGGUGGCGAAGGCGGCAUCCUGGACCAACACUGACGCUGAGGAGCGAAAGCGUGGGGAGCAAACAGG
rnacentral:rRNA from 1 species